rnacentral:rRNA from 1 species
CUGCGAGUGAAGCGGGAAAAGCUCAAAUUUAAAAUCUGGCGGCUUUGGUCGUCCGAGUUGUAUCCUAGAGAAGUGUUUUCCGCGUUGGACCGUGUAUAAGUCUCUUGGAACAGAGCGUCAUAGAGGGUGAGAAUCCCGUCUUUGACACGGACUACCAAUGCUUUGUGAUACACUCUCAAAGAGUCGAGUUGUUUGGGAAUGCAGCUCAAAAUGGGUGGUAAAUUCCAUCUAAAGCUAAAUAUUGGCGAGAGACCGAUAGCGAACAAGUACCGUGAGGGAAAGAUGAAAAGCACUUUGGAAAGAGAGUUAAACAGUACGUGAAAUUGCUGAAAGGGAAACGAUUGAAGUCAGUCGCGUUAGCUAGAACUCAACCAGGCUUGCUUGGCGUAUUUUCUAGUUAACGGGCCAGCAUCAGUUUUGACCGCAGGAAAAAGGCCAGAGAAAUGUGGCACCCUCGGGUGUGUUAUAGUCUUUGGUCAUAUACUGCGAUUGGGACUGAGGUUCGCAGCACGCGCAAGCUGUGCUUAGGAUGCUGGCGUAAUGGCUUUAAACGACCCGUCUUGAAACACGGACCAAGGAGUCUAACAAACCUGCGAGUAUUUGGGUGGUAAACCCGAGUGCGCAAUGAAAGUAAAAGUUGGGAUCCCUGUCGUGGGGAGCACCGACGCCCGGACCAGACCUUCUGUGACGGAUCUGCGGUAGAGCAUGUUUGUUGGGACCCGAAAGAUGGUGAACUAUGCCUGAAUAGGGUGAAGCCAGAGGAAACUCUGGUGGAGGCUCGUAGCGAUUCUGACGUGCAAAUCGAUCGUCAAAUUUGGGUAUAGGGGCGAAAG